rnacentral:lncRNA from 1 species
AUUCCAGGUCGUAUUGUACUGAAAAACAUCGUACGACACACGUACGAAAAGGAAAUUCGUAACUCGUGUUGAUUUAGUGCCCUUCGGUCAUGUUUAAUUUAUCGCCACUCGUUUCGAACUUCCUUUUUUAUGCACUUGUAUCGUAUGUCCUAUUUUGGUGUAAAUCUGGUCCGCCUCUAAAAUUCCUUCAUAAUAUAUUUUGGCCCCCAAAGAAAAAAGGUUCUGCACCACUGCUCUGUAUAGUAAGUUUUAUUUAUAUAUUCUUAAAACUCGUAAAAUGUGGAUUUUAAGUUUAUUAUGGAUAUCAAGUUUUGCAUUUGAAUGUUACAAAAUAUUUAGGGUCUGUUUCACAAUUUCCAAAUAAAUAAUCAACAAAUAAAUAAAUUAACUGCUAUAUAAAACUUCCCGUUAAAAACAGUUUGCGUUUCACAAACGUGAACUGUUUUUAAUGGGAAUAAAUUAUAAAUUUACCCCAGUAAAUUUAUGUACCAGUUUGCUUGCUUAUUGUAAGUUAGAGCUGGCAACAUCGUAAAAAUGUUUCGGUUUACGGAAUAUGUGAAUUUUUUCACUUUACAAAAUAAACUUUAAAUGUAUAUUCUAUUAUAUAACAAUUAUUAAUGAUACAUUUUUUUUUAUCGAGAACUUUUAUGUGGAUACAAUCAUAUUCUUUGAUGUGGAUCGAAACAACUGUCAAAAUGCGUUGCAUUGCAUUGUAGCUGGAAACAAAUUAUGAGACGCGACGCGUCCGCGGACGCAUGGCCACUGCUGCGAUGUAGAAUCUACAGUGGCGUCUACAUUGUAGAUAAGAUAAUGAAUAUACUCGGAAUUGUGCAAACUAUCGGACGUAACGUAAGCCAUGGACAUGGCCUUGAGCGUUUGGUUUCAGACAUAAAACCUGGCCGCCAGAUGUUUUAAGACUGCAAGUCGCGGUCGUCAGCCACGUCCGUAUGACGCGUCCCAUAAUUUGUUUCUAGCUUAAUGCAAAUGUCAAAGAAACUAGAAACUUAGAAAGUUUUAGCAACCGUUCGGUUGACUUUUAUUGGGCAUUUUUAGCGUGUGCGUGUUUCUUUUGAACUUCAGUUUGCCAAUGCGCUUGAAUCAGUGGCAAAGAGUAUUAUUAGUAUAUAUCAGUGGACUGGGCUGCGGUGGUAGAACGCUCGAGGCACGAUUGUCACAGGCUCGCGCAAUCACUACUUAACAUAUUAGUUGACAAAUUUAACACAUGUUUUCCUAUACUUACGUAAACAACCACAACAGCACAGGAGGGCUGAAGCCUCAGUGCAGCACCUGUUUUGACUCCCAGUGAGAAUGAGUGACAGUCUGCCAAAGACAGUAGUUACUUGCAGUUUGCACAAAUACCCUUCACAUGAUUGCAAUAAUGCAGAUGAAUCUAAGUGUAUUGGUAACUUCACCAUCCUGUGUAGCCGAAGAAGCACCUGUAUGUCCACCAAAAACCAGAGCACAUAAUAUAUAAAAGAACAAGUACAGAAGGCUCACAGUCAACAACCUGUCAACGGACUGCAUGUGACAUUGAGUUCUAUUGCGAAGCGAGAAGGUCAUCAAACUAUGGGCCGGGAACUCUUAGCCGCCGGAAUGUAUGAAAGAAAUGUGGAGUGAGCCACCCCCGACAAGAGUUAUUUUUUUAUAAUAAUCAGAUAGAACUGUCACAAAUAGAAGAGUUAAAAUUCACUGCAAUUGAUCAACCACAGAUUUUGUAUAAAAAAAAUGCCUAUGUGAUUAAUGUUGAGUGUAUUCUGAAUAUUUUAUGAAAUACCUAUAUUUUUGUUUUAUUUGUAUAAAUGAUUGCAUCUCUUCUAAAUAUACUGA